CUUCACAAUUGGUUUUACGGGUUCACCAACAACCUACGUUGGUUUUACGGGCUUACCAACAACCUACGUUGGUUUUACGGGCUUACCAACAACCUACAAUGUUGGUUUUACGGGCUUACCAACAAACCUUACAACAAGAAUAAAGAAUAAUAAACUAAAGCUCCUAAAUGAGCAAAUAAAACAAUUAUGAGCUACAAAGAAGAGUUUAGAAUAUAAUUAUCCCUUUAAUAAGGCUCUUCUCUUCUUUGUCAAGAUUGCUUCACUCUUCAAGGGUUGGUGGAGCUCUUAAUGUCUCUUGGAAUGUGCUCAACCACUUUCUUUUGGCUCUUUGAAUGAAGCAAUUGAACGAAGCUUGCCUUGCUAGG
rnacentral:lncRNA from 1 species